rnacentral:rRNA from 1 species
CCUACGGGGGGCUGCAGUGGGGAAUAUUGGACAAUGGGGGGAACCCUGAUCCAGCCAUGCCGCGUGUGUGAAGAAGGCCCUCGGGUUGUAAAGCACUUUCAGUGAGGAAGAACGCCUGUUGGUUAAUACCCAUCAGGAAAGACAUCACUCACAGAAGAAGCACCGGCUAACUCCGUGCCAGCAGCCGCGGUAAUACGGAGGGUGCGAGCGUUAAUCGGAAUUACUGGGCGUAAAGCGCGCGUAGGUGGCUUGAUAAGCCGGUUGUGAAAGCCCCGGGCUCAACCUGGGAACGGCAUCCGGAACUGUCAAGCUAGAGUGCAGGAGAGGAAGGUAGAAUUCCCGGUGUAGCGGUGAAAUGCGUAGAGAUCGGGAGGAAUACCAGUGGCGAAGGCGGCCUUCUGGACUGACACUGACACUGAGGUGCGAAAGCGUGGGUAGCAAACAGGAUUAGAUACCCCAGUAGUC